GUCUUCCUGUCCACCCAGUCGCCCCACAUGUCAGCGGUUGGUCGCCUCGCGGUGCAGCGCUGGGCACGCGAGCCCCUCCCGCAGCCAUUCGCAGCACAAGCACCACCCGCAGCGACAGAGCUAAGAGCCCCCACGCCGCAGAGGUCGCGCGGAGCAGAUUUGAUGGAGUGAAACAGAGCCCAGCUGCUGGAGCAGAGGCACCUGCUUGAGUCCCACGGACACCCGCAGCCCAAUCCCCGGAGGCCAGUGGGGCUCACGGUGACUGAGUUCAAUAUGAUCAGAAUUGAACCAUUUCAAAAAGCAGCGCAAGUGGCAACUGCUAGAAACCAGACUAACUGAGUUUGAUCCCCCUCUUCUGCUCCUUCCCUCUGAUGGAAUUCUCAUUUUCCCUGGCCUCCCGCAUUGACAUUCAUCCAAUGCCCAUGCUGCUGGAUCAGCCUUCCUGGAGCCACAUCCAGCUUGGAAAGAUGAAGGGUUUCCAACCUUUUUGGAGAUGACAAUGUGUUAUCAAAAUCAACAAAUUAAUAGAUUUGCUUCCUUUGUGUAUUUUUUGCAAUGUUCUGUGAGAUAUCAAGCCACUUUCCUGGUAGUUUCUUAUUCAGUAUUUCACUGUACUGCUUUAAUAAAAGAUGGUCAGGCCUCAACCCUAACAGAGUCACUUUCAGAUCUUGUUAAUAAGUUGGGUUUAUAAUGUGAUACAGGUUUUGAGAUGGCCCUGAGAACUUAGGUUUUUCGUAGGCUCUGUGGGCAACUUUCAUGGGGCAGAGGUUUAGAAAGCUGGGAACAAUCUGCCAGGCAUCGAGAAGCCACUAGAUGGCAGGGCCAUCCCUU